CUUUCUUAAAUUUGUGAAAUAAUUGGUUCCAAAAAUUGCAAAUUGUAGGAAAUGAAUUAUUUGAUAACAAAUGUAUUUUUUAAUUGGCAUACAAUUUGUGCACAGCUCUUUUUAGUUUUGAGUGACAAUAAUGAAAACCGGAAUCACUUCACACCUUUACAAUUUUGAUUUGGAUAAGAUUCUCAGCGUUUGUAGAGCUGAUUUGUAUGAGUCCAACGGUCCAAGUCCGGUGUUUCUACUCCACCCCCUCGCCGAGUGGGAGGAGCUCAAAGUUGGAAAAACAGGGGUUUUCUGCGAUUUUUAGCUUAAAGACAUAAAUUACCCGGUUGAAAGACAUGGAGCAGUUGCUGAUAGGCUAGAAAUGCCAGGAAAUAGCAAAUUGUGUGAGCCCAUGUCUGUAGUACACAAUGCAGUUUAAAUUUUGAUAAAAAAAUAGCUGGGUAGAGUUUCAGAGUAAAAGUUAUAACAUUUGUCAAAAUUUCGCUAAUUUUUCCAAAGUACCUCCAUUACACGAAAUUAAACAUUUGUAGUCCAAAAUCUGUUUGCAUUAUCAUCAGUAAUGUCUCCUCUAACUGCCAAAAUAAUAAACAUGAAAACAUUUCAA